rnacentral:rRNA from 1 species
CACUGACAUUAGAUACCCCGGUAGUCCCAGCCGUAAACUAUGCGCGUUAGGUGUACUGGUGACCACGAGUCACCGGGGUGCCGAAGGGAAACCGUGAAACGUGCCGCCUGGGAAGUACGGUCGCAAGGCUGAAACUUAAAGGAAUCGGCGGGGAGCACCACAACGGGUGGAGCCUGCGGUUUAAUUGGACUCAACGCCGGAAAUCUCACCGGAUAGGACAGACAUAUGAUAGUCGGGCUGAAGACUCUACUUGAUGAUCUG